rnacentral:rRNA from 1 species
UCUUCCGCAAUGGACGAAAGUCUGACGGAGCAACGCCGCGCGAGUGAUGAAGGUUUUCGGAUCGUAAAACUCUGUUGUUAGGGAAGAACAAGUGCCGUUCGAAUAGGGCGGUACCUUGACGGUACCUAACCAGAAAGCCACGGCUAACUGCGUGCCACCAGCCGCGGUAAUACGUAGGUGGCAAGCGUUGUCCGGAAUUAUUGGGAGUAAGGCGCGCGCAGGCGGUUUCUUAAGUAUGAUGUGAAAGCCCCCGGCUCAACCGGGGAGGGUCAUUGGAAACUGGGGAACUUGAGUGCAGAAGAGGAGAGUGGAAGUCCACGUGUAGCGGUGAAAUGCGUAGAGAUGUGGAGGAACACCAGUGGCGAAGGCGACUCUCUGGUCUGUAACUGACGCUGAGGCGCGAAAGCGUGGGGAGCGAACAG